GAGCGCGCCCGCCUGAGCUGCUUGUGCCCGGGCUGAGCGCGCGGCCUCCCCUCAGAUCUUUCUUCCAAUACUUUCUUCCAAGAAUUAUGAGUGCAAAUGUGCUCAUGAUUACCUCAGUAAUACUGAGAAACAUCUGGAAAAAUUAACAGAAAAAUUUAACGAUGAGCCAAAGGCGA